rnacentral:misc_RNA from 1 species
GACGAACCGUGCGAACGUUGUUCGGAUUCACUGGGCUUAAAGGGCGCGUAGGCGGAUUACCAAGUCAGGGGUGAAAGCCCUCGGCUCAACCGAGGAACAGCCUUUGAUACUGGUAGUCUUGAGUGAGAUAGGGGCCUCUGGAACUUCUGGUGGAGCGGUGAAAUGCGUAGAUAUCAGAAGGAACGCCGGUGGCGAAAGCGAGGGGCUGGAUCUCAACUGACGCUGAGGCGCGAAAGCUAGGGGAGUGAACGGG